rnacentral:rRNA from 1 species
AUGGACUACCAGCCGCUCGUCUCCACCCUCGACGCCCGAACCUCCCCAGUAUCCCUCGGUGAGCUAUUUUCAAUGCUGAGUAAUUUUGAUCAGAGGGUAGCACAGUACCAGGGAUCGGGUGGCUUCAAGUCGUCGGCUAAUGCAGCAAUGCGUGGGCGCGGUGGCUACUCCCGUCAUUGUGGCCCGCCUCGCUCCAAGGGCAAGCAAGGGAGCGGCGGCAGCAACGGCGGGUCCAACUCCCGUGGACGGGCCAACUCCACCAACAACAGGGGCCGUCGCGGAGGGUCCUCCAAAUCGCGCCCGGACGCGGUGCACUGCCAGAUCUGCGGCAAGCCGGGCCACACGGCGAGGGACUGCUGGUACCGUUCGAUGAGGACGAGGCUUCCUCAGAAGAUGAAGAAAAGAUUGAUGCUGCUGCUGACGGCUAGUACGGUGUCGAUACCAACUGGUAUCUUGACAGCGGCGCGACAAACCAUCUCACCGGCGAACUAG